rnacentral:rRNA from 1 species
AACGAACGCUGGCGGCAGGCCUAACACAUGCAAGUCGAACGCACCGCAAGGUGAGUGGCGCACGGGUGAGUAACACGUGGGAAUGUACCCUUUGGUUCGGAAUAACGUUUGGAAACGAACGCUAAUACCGGAUGAGCCCUGCGGGGGAAAGAUUUAUCGCCAAAGGAGCAGCCCGCGUCUGAUUAGCUAGUUGGUGGGUAAAGGCCUACCAAGGCGACGAUCAGUAGCUGGUCUGAGAGGAUGAUCAGCCACACUGGGACUGAGACACGGCCCAGACUCCUACGGAAGGCAGCAGUGGGGAAUAUUGGACAAUGGGCGCAAGCCUG